UACGUAGGGUGCAAGCGUUAAUCGGAAUUACUGGGCGUAAAGCGUGCGCAGGCGGUUGUGUAAGACAGAUGUGAAAUCCCCGGGCUCAACCUGGGAACUGCAUUUGUGACUGCACGGCUGGAGUGCGGCAGAGGGGGAUGGAAUUCCGCGUGUAGCAGUGAAAUGCGUAGAUAUGCGGAGGAACACCGAUGGCGAAGGCAGCCCCCUGGGUCAAAACUGACGCUCAUGCACGAAAGCGUGGGGAGCAAACAGG
rnacentral:rRNA from 1 species